rnacentral:ribozyme from 1 species
UCAAGAUUUUUAUGUCGAUGGGGAUGCCCAGUCGAUGCACUACUGCGGUUGUAUUAGAGAAUUUUAUCCCUUUUCUGCUCCUACUUCCCGUGCUUACUAUGAUAUCACUACUAACACUGACAAAGAGCUUGUUUUUUGCUUGAGAGGUACUGACAGCUCCUGUGAUACCACUUGGAC